rnacentral:snRNA from 1 species
AUAGCUUCUCGGCCUUUUGGCUAAGAACAAGUGUAGUAUAUGUAAUUCUAUAAUUCACUUCACUUGCAGACACUACAAGUCACUAUUAAAGAAAUGAUAAACAAUCAUC